UCGACUCGCCAUCGAUUGUUGCCACCCAUUGAGAUCUCUAAAUCCUGACGCCUCACCCCCCUCGUCGCUCGACUGCACCUCCGCCUCAUUGUCUACGCUAUCACCAGGUACACCAUUUUCGACAGCACCAAACGGAGCAGCUUAUUAGGUUAAGUGGUUUUGAGUAUUCUUUGUUUUUUAAUUUGCUAAUGUAGUUGUGAUACCUAUAAUUUCUUCACUUUGUCUCUGCACUUCAAUUUGCUAAGGUUUUUGUUAAGUUCUUCAAUUUGUCUCUACAUUUGCUAAGGUUUUUGUUUGAGAAUUUUGAAGAACCGAGAGUCUUGGAAAAGAGAGGAUUUGAACCGAGAGUCAGCCACACACACACUACUGCAUUCUUCGAUUUCUGCUGUGAAACGUUUAAAUAACGUGAUUGAUUUGUUAGAUUUAAAUAACGAUUUAACCUAUGCAGGAAUUGCAAAACUAUCCUCGUUAGAUUAUACUUGACUCGGUGUUUCUGUAAAUUUUGAUUUUUUUCUUUACCUGUAUUUGUUUUGGCUUGGUUAACUAAGUAAUACUUCUGAAUAAAUUGUAAUUGGCUAAAUUUCAGGAAGUACUCGUACUUCUUUGUUUAUGUUUUGAACUCAUGUUGUGCAUGUGGUGUAGCAUCUAAUACAAAUAAGAAGAUUUCAGAGCUAGAUGUAUACACUGUUUCUGUCACUUUAUGUUAUUUUUGUCAAUAGCUGAAUCCAGACUGUGGUGACCUCAGAAAUCUUAGUUCUUAGCUGUGGGAGGUAUAUUCAACCGGUAAAUCCUGAACUUCGUAGCUUCAUUCNNNNN
rnacentral:lncRNA from 1 species